rnacentral:rRNA from 1 species
CGUAGGUGGCAAGCGUUGUCCGGAAUUAUUGGGCGUAAAGCGCGCGCGGGCGGUCCUUUAAGUCUGAUGUGAAAGCCCACGGCUCAACCGUGGAGGGUCAUUGGAAACUGGGGGACUUGAGUACAGAAGAGAAGAGUGGAAUUCCACGUGUAGCGGUGAAAUGCGUAGAGAUGUGGAGGAACACCAGUGGCGAAGGCGACUCUUUGGUCUGUAACUGACGCUGAGGCGCGAAAGCGUGGGGAGCAAACAGGAUUAGAUACCCUCGUAGUCCACGCUGUAAACGAUGAGUGCUAAGUGUUAGAGGGUUUCCGCCCUUUAGUGCUGCAACUAACGCAUUAAGCACUCCGCCUGGGAAGUACGGCCGCAAGGCUG